rnacentral:misc_RNA from 1 species
UAUUAGUCAAAUAAACUGUGUAACACUAAAUUACUACCUAAUCUGAUAAGAUGAUAAACUUAGACUAUUUUAACAUUUGAUUCAUUGAUCAAAUUAUUGUAUACAUCCUAUUUUUUAAUUUGGCUUAAGUUAAUAUUUCCAAGUAUUCUUGCUUGUAAUCAAAUUUUCGAUGUAAUUCUAUUUUUAUGUAUCUUUGACAUUUUUCGGUUGCAAAAAAAUGUUGUUAUUUAACUAAAAUAGGAAAAUUAUCCAAUGCAAAAAAGCAAAUAAAAAGGAAAUGGGAAAAAAUGAUUGUUAGCCUCUUAUAGUGAAGAUUUGAAAGAUAACUCUCAACUUUUUAAGAAAAAAUUGCAUUAGCUAAAUAAAAGAGCUAAGAUUGUGUAGGUUGACUUUAUAUUAAUUGAUUACAAUAUAAUAUUAAUUUUUAUUUGAUUAUUUUAAUUUAAUUCAUAAUUUAUAUCAGUUUAACUCUUUUUUUAUGAAAAAAAAUUAAUUUAUUUAAUUUUACUAUGCUUAAUAGAGUAAGAAAAAUAAAAUAAAAAUUAA